AUUGAACGCUGGCGGCAGGCUUAACACAUGCAAGUCGAGCGAGCGGCGGACGGGUGAGUAAUGUCUGGGAAACUGCCUGAUGGAGGGGGAUAACUACUGGAAACGGUAGCUAAUACCGCAUACCAUCAGAUGUGCCCAGAUGGGAUUAGCUAGUAGGUGGGGUAAUGGCUCACCUAGGCGACGAUCCCUAGCUGGUCUGAGAGGAUGACCAGCCACACGGGAACUGAGACACGGUCCAGACGCCUACGGGAGGCAGCAGUGGGGAGUAUUGCACAAUGGGCGCAAGCCUGAUGCAGCCAUGCCGCGUGUGUGAAGAAGGCCUUCGGGUUGUAAAGCACGUUAAGCGGGGAGGCGUUACUCGCAGAAGAAGCACCGGCUUACGACGUGCCAGCAGCCGCGGUAAUAC
rnacentral:rRNA from 1 species